rnacentral:rRNA from 1 species
GAAUUUUGGACAAUGGGGGAAACCCUGAUCCAGCCAUUCCGCGUGAGUGAAGAAGGCCUUCGGGUUGUAAAGCUCUUUCAGCUGGAAAGAAACGGUGCGCUCUAACAUAGCGUGCUAAUGACGGUACCAGCAGAAGAAGCACCGGCUAACUACGUGCCAGCAGCCGCGGUAAUACGUAGGGUGCGAGCGUUAAUCGGAAUUACUGGGCGUAAAGCGUGCGCAGGCGGAUUGUUAAGCAAGAUGUGAAAUCCCCGGGCUUAACCUGGGAAUGGCAUUUUGAACUGGCAGUCUAGAGUGCGUCAGAGGGGGGUGGAAUUCCACGUGUAGCAGUGAAAUGCGUAGAUAUGUGGAGGAACACCAAUGGCGAAGGCAGCCCCCUGGGAUGACACUGACACUGAGGCACGAAAGCGUGGGGAGCAAAC